GCCAGAGUGGUGUAGUGGUUUGAGUGCUGGACUACGACUCUGGAGACAGGAGUUCAAAUGCCCACUCAGCCA